GAGAGGACAACUAUACAUCGCAUGUUAGGACUUUAUGUGCUUCGCCCAGUUAUGACGUCGUAGCCAUGUCUACCAGAUUUCAGUGAAUUGCUUUUGUUAAGCAGAAGCAAGUUUCCAUUCUAAAUUGGUAGGUGAUCUGUUUUCGUGUGCAGGUUAGCUCCGGACACUGCUGUGUUUUGAAAAUGUGUUUUAAAAUCUGUGUUCAGGUAACAUUAGAUUAGAAGACCUUUAUUUUCCUAAGAUUGGGGAAUUCGUUUGGCAUUAAGCUUCACAACAUCAGAAAUAAAAGAGUUAUCAUCCUGAAUCUCUGCUCAGGUAAUAUAGGUCUGUGAGAGUGUGCUCAGGUAAUAUAGGUCUGUGAGAGUGUGUUCAGGUAAUAUAGGUCUGUGAGAGUGUGCUCAUGUAAUAUAGGUCUGUGACUGUGAGUGUGUGCUCAGGUAAUAUAGGUCUGUGAGAGUGUGCUCAGGUAAUAUAGGUCUGUGACUGUGAGUGUGUGUUCAGGUAAUAUAGGUCUGUGAGAGUGUGUUCAGGUAAUAUAGGUCUGUGAGAGUGUGCUCAGGUAAUAUAGGUCUGUGAGAGUGUGUUCAGGUAAUAUAGGUCUGUGAGAGUGUGUUCAGGUAAUAUAGGUCUGUGAGAGUGUGUUCAGGUAAUAUAGGUCUGUGAGAGUGUGUUCAGGUAAUAUAGGUCUGUGAGAGUGUGCUCAGGUAAUAUAGGUCUGUGACUGUGAGUGUGUGCUCAGGUAAUAUAGGUCUGUGAGAGUGUGCUCAGGUAAUAUAGGUCUGUGACUGUGAGUGUGUGUUCAGGUAAUAUAGGUCUGUGAGAGUGUGUUCAGGUAAUAUAGGUCUGUGAGAGUGUGUUCAGGUAAUAUAGGUCUGUGAGAGUGUGCUCAGGUAGUAUAGGUCUGUGACUGUGAGCUCAGGUAAUAUAGGUCUGUGAGUGUGUGCUCAGGUAAUUUUUAUUUUUUUUAUUUCACCUUUAUUUAACCAGGUAGGCUAGUUGAGAACAAGUUCUCAUUUGCAACUGCGACCUGGCCAAGAUAAAGCAUAGCAGUGUGAACAGACAACACAGAGUUACACAUGGAGUAAACAAUUAACAAGUCAAUAACACAGUAGAAAAAAAGGGGAGUCUAUAUACAUUGUGUGCAAAAGGCAUGAGGAGGUAGGCGAAUAAUUACAAUUUUGCAGAUUAACACUGGAGUGAUAAAUGAUCAGAUGGUCAUGUACAGGUAGAGAUAUUGGUGUGCAAAAGAGCAGAAAAGUACAUAAAUAAAAACAGUAUGGGAAUGAGGUAGGUAAAAUUGGGUGGGCUAUUUACCAAUAGACUAUGUACAGCUGCAGCGAUCGGUAAGCUGCUCAGAUAGCAGAUGUUUGAAGUUGGUGAGGGAGAUAAAAGUCUCCAACUUCAGCGAUUUUUGCAAUUUGUUCCAGUCACAGGCAGCAGAGUACUGGAACGAAAGGCGGCCAAAUGAGGUGUUGGCUUUAGGGAUGAUCAGUGAGAUACACCUGAUGGAGCGCGUGCUACGGAUGGAUGGGUUUUGCCAUCGUGACCAGUGAACUGAGAUAAGGCGGAGCUUUACCUAGCAUGGACUUGUAGAUGACCUGGAGCCAGUGGGUCUGGCGACGAAUAUGUAGCGAGGGCCAGCCGACUAGAGCAUACAAGUCGCAGUGGUGGGUGGUAUAAGGUGCUUUAGUGACAAAACGGAUGGCACUGUGAUAAACUGCAUCCAGUUUGCUGAGUAGAGUGUUGGAAGCAAUUUUGUAGAUGACAUCGCCGAAGUCGAGGAUCGGUAGGAUAGUCAGUUUUACUAGGGUAAGUUUGGCGGCGUGAGUGAAGGAGGCUUUGUUGCGGAAUAGAAAGCCGACUCUUGAUUUGAUUUUCGAUUGUAGAUGUUUGAUAUGAGUCUGGAAGGAGAGUUUACAGUCUAGCCAGACACCUAGGUACUUAUAGAUGUCCACAUAUUCAAGGUCGGAACCAUCCAGGGUGGUGAUGCAAGUCGGGCAUGCGGGUGCAGGCAGCGAUCGGUUGAAAAGCAUGCAUUUGGUUUUACUAGCGUUUAAGAGCAGUUGGAGGCCACGGAAGGAGUGUUGUAUGGCAUUGAAGCUCGUUUGGAGGUUAGAUAGCACAGUGUCCAAUGACGGGCCGGAAGUAUAUAGAAUGGUGUCGUCUGCGUAGAGGUGGAUCAGGGAAUCGCCCGCAGCAAGAGCAACAUCAUUGAUAUAUACAGAGAAAAAAAGUUGGCCCGAGAAUUGAACCCUGUGGCACCCCCAUAGAGACUGCCAGAGGACCGGACAGCAUGCCCUCCGAUUUGACACACUGAACUCUUGUCUGCAAAGUAAUUGGUGAACCAGGCAAGGCAGUCAUCCGAAAAUCCGAGGCUACUGAGUCUGCCGAUAAGAAUAUGGUGAUUGACAGAGUCGAAAGCCUUGGCAAGGUCGAUGAAGACGGCUGCACAGUACUCACUUUUAUCGAUGGCGGUUAUGAUAUCGUUUAGUACCUUGAGUGUGGCUGAGUUGCACCCGUGACCGGCUCGGAAACCAGAUUGCACAGCGGAGAAGGUACGGUGGGAUUCGAGAUGGUCAGUGAUCUGUUUGUUGACUUGGCAUUCGAAGACCUUAGAUAGGCAGGGCAGGAUGGAUAUAGGUCUGUAACCUCCUUUGAAGAGGGGGAUGACUGCGGCAGCUUUCCAAUCCUUGGGGAUCUCAGACGUAAUAUAGGUCUGUGUGUGUGUGUUCAGGUAAUAUAGGUCUGUGAGAGUGUGCUCAGGUAAUAUAGGUCUGUGAGAGUGUGCUCAGGUAAUAUAGGUCUGUGAGUGUGUGCUCAGGUAAUAUAGGUCUGUGAGUGUGUGCUCAGGUUCAGUAGAAUGUAUUGUCUGUCUGCAUCUCU